rnacentral:rRNA from 1 species
GGAGGGUGCAAGCGUUGUUCGGAAUUACUGGGCGUAAAGAGCGUGUAGGCGGUUUGGCAAGUCAGAUGUGAAAGCCCUGGGCUCAACCCAGGAAGUGCAUUUGAAACUGCCAUUCUAGAGUAUGGGAGAGGAGAGUGGAAUUCCCAGUGUAGAGGUGAAAUUCGUAGAUAUUGGGAGGAACACCCGUGGCGAAGGCGACUCUCUGGACCAAUACUGACGCUGAGACGCGAAAGCGUGGGGGAGCAAACAGGAUUAGAUACCCUGGUAGUCCACGCCGUAAACGAUGAGAACUAGGUGUAGCGGGUAUUGACCCCCCCCCUGCUGUGCCGUAGCUAACGCACUAAGUUCUCCGCCUGGGAGUACGGUCGCAAGGCUA